GAUCCCAUCAGAACUCCGAAGUUAAGCGUGCUUGGGCGAGAGUAGUACUAGGAUGGGUGACCCCCUGUGAAGUCCUCGUGUUGCAUCCCU
rnacentral:rRNA from 1 species